AUUGAACGCUGGCGGCAGGCCUAACACAUGCAAGUCGCGCGGAUCGCCAGACUGGUGAGUAAUGCCUAGGAAUCUGCCUCGUAGUGGGGGAUAACGUCCGGAAACGGGCGCUAAUACCGCAUACUCUCAGCUGAGCCUAGGUGGGAUUAGCUAGUUGGUGGGGUAAAGGCCUACCAAGGCGACGAUCCGGAACUGGUCUGAGAGGAUGAUCAGUAACACUGGAACUGAGACACGGUCCAGACUCCGACGGGAGGCAGCAGUGGGGAAUAUUGGACAAUGGGCGAAAGCCUGAUCCAGCCAUGCCGCGUGUAUGAAGAAGGCCUUCGGGUUGUAAAGUACUUUCAGCGGGGAGGCGUUACCCGCAGAAGAAGCACCGGCUAACUCCGUGCCAGCAGCCGCGGUAAUAC
rnacentral:rRNA from 1 species